GACGAACGCUGGCGGCGUGCUUAACACAUGCAAGUCGAAUGGAAAGGCCCUGCUUUCGUGGGGUGCUCGAGUGGCGAACGGGUGAGUAACACGUGAGUAACCUGCCCUUGACUUUGGGAUAACUUCAGGAAACUGGGGCUAAUACCGGAUAGGAGCUCCUGCUGCAUGGUGGGGGUUGGAAAGUUUCGGCGGUUGGGGAUGGACUCGCGGCUUAUCAGCUUGUUGGUGGGGUAGUGGCUUACCAAGGCUUUGACGGGUAGCCGGCCUGAGAGGGUGACCGGCCACAUUGGGACUGAGAUACGGCCCAGACUCCUACGGGAGGCAGCAGUGGAGAAUAUUGCACAAUGGGCGGAAGCCUGAUGCAGCAACGCCACGUGCGGGAUGACGGCCUUCGGGUUGUAAACCGCUUUCGCCUGUGACGAAGCGUGAGUGACGGUAAUGGGUAAAGAAGCACCGGCUAACUACGUG
rnacentral:rRNA from 1 species